rnacentral:miRNA from 1 species
CUGGUCGACAUUUUUCGGUUGGG